UACCAUGCUGAAUAUACCGGUUCUCGUUAAGAUCACCGAAGUCAAGCAUCAUUGGGCGCGGUCAGCACUCGGGUGGGA